rnacentral:rRNA from 1 species
AGUGAACGCUGGCGGUAGGCCUAACACAUGCAAGUCGAACGGCAGCACAGUAAGAGCUUGCUCUUACGGGUGGCGAGUGGCGGACGGGUGAGGAAUACAUCGGAAUCUACUUUUUCGUGGGGGAUAACGUAGGGAAACUUACGCUAAUACCGCAUACGACCUACGGGUGAAAGCAGGGGAUCUUCGGACCUUGCGCGAUUGAAUGAGCCGAUGUCGGAUUAGCUAGUUGGCGGGGUAAAGGCCCACCAAGGCGACGAUCCGUAGCUGGUCUGAGAGGAUGAUCAGCCACACUGGAACUGAGACACGGUCCAGACUCCUACGGGAGGCAGCAGUGGGGAAUAUUGGACAAUGGGCGCAAGCCUGAUCCAACCAUACCGCGUAGGUGAAGAAGACCUUCGGGUUGUAAAGCCCUUUUGUUGGGAAAGAAAAGCAGCAGGUUAAUACCCCGCUGUUCUGACGGUACCCAAAGAAUAAGCACCGGCUAACUUCGUG